CUGUCACACCAAGCAAUCAUCGUUUAGGGCUAGGACUACCAGGGUAUCUAAUCCUGUUUGCUCCCCUAGCUUUCGCGCCUCAGCGUCAGUUAUGGUCCAGUGAGCCGCUUUCGCCACAGGUGUUCCUUCCGAUAUCUACGCAUUUCACCGCUACACCGGAAAUUCCACUCACCUCUCCCAUACUCAAGCCCGACAGUUUCUAAUGCAGGCUAUGGGUUGAGCCCAUAGAUUUCACAUCAGACUUGUCAAACCGCCUACGCGCCCUUUACGCCCAAUAAUUCCGAACAACGCUUGCCCCCCUCGUAUUACCGCGGCUGCUGGCACGAAGUUAGCCGGGGCUUCUUCUUCCGGUACCGUCAUAAUCGUCCCGAUCGAAAGGAGUUUACAUCCCAAGGGAUUUCAUCCUCCACGCGGCGUUGCUGCGUCAGGGUUUCCCCCAUUGCGCAAAAUUCCCCACUGCUGCCUCCCGUAGGAGUCUGGACCGUGUUUCAGUUCCAGUGUGUCCGUGCGCCCUCUCAGGCCGGAUACAGAUCAUCGUCUUGGUGGGCCAUUACCCCGCCAACUAACUAAUCUGCCGCGAACUCCUCUUCAAGCGCAUUGCUGCUUUGACCCGUAGGUAUUAUGCGGUAUUAGCUGAGAUUUCUCCCAGUUAUUCCCCACUCGAAGGUAGAUGAUUCACGUGUUACUCACCCGUGCGCCACUGUACUCAGGGCCGAAGCCCCUUUCUCGUGCGACUUGCAUGUGUUAGGCACGCCGCCAGCGUUGAUUCUGAGCCAGGAUCAAACUC
rnacentral:rRNA from 1 species